rnacentral:rRNA from 1 species
AUUCCAGCUCCAAUAGCGUAUAUUAAAGUUGUUGCGGUUAAAAAGCUCGUAGUUGGAUUUCUGCAUGGAAGGAGCGGUCCACCCUUUGGGUGAGUUACUGCUACCUUUUGUGCAUCUUCCUGAGAAGGCGUUCUUCACUUCAUUGUGAGGCCGCAUGACUCAGGACGUUUACUUUGUGGAAAUGAGAGUGUUUCAAGCAGGCAAAUGCCUUGAAUACGUUAGCAUGGAAUAAUAGCAUCGGACCAUCGUCCAGCUGUUGGUGUCUGGGCGAAGGUAAAGGUGAAUAGGGAUUGUUGGGGGCAUUCGUAUUUAACUGUCAGAGGUGAAAUUCUUGGAUUUGUUGAAGACGGACUACUGCGAAAGCAUCUGCCAAAGAUGUUCUCAUCG